CUUUAACAAUCAAAAUAGUUACAGUUUUUACAUUCGUGACCUGUUUGUACUCGUCAGUGGGUCUAUGGUAAACAGAGCCUAACAAGCAUAGUCGAAGAUAAUUCGUCCUGGUUGUGUUGUACUUAGAAACAAGAUGAGAUAACUCUGAAUAAACAUGGAGUCCAUUAUCAGAAUUGCGAAACGCUGUUGGAAGAUUGCAGCUUUCAUUUUUCGUAUGGUCUUCCUUGUUAUCGUUACGGCACUGGUAUGGUUAAUUCCUCCAUUGGGGAGAAUGAUAAAUCGUAAAAUGAGCCACAAUGUGGAAGGCAGUCGAGUGAAAAGAGGAGAUUUUGAAAGUUCAAUGUUUUCUUGGGGAAUGCUUACGCAUAUUUUCCGUGCCAGUUAUCUAGACGCCUUCAAAACGACUGAACUUCAUGGAAAGGCGACAAAUACGACAGUAUAUUCAUCAGAUGGACUGAAGAAACACUUCCUGUUUGAUUACAUGAAAAAGGGUCGACCUCUGGUGUUGAACUUUGGUAGUUGUACCUGACCCCCGUUUAUGGUAGAGUUACGGAAUUUCAACGAAUUAGUACGUAACUUUUCCAAGGAAGCAGAUUUUUUGACGAUUUAUAUCGAAGAAGCCCACCCAAAUGAUGAAUGGCGAUUUGAUAACAACUAUGACAUUUACCAGCACGUGACAUUAGAAGACCGAGUCAAGGCUGCAAGGAAUUUACUGGAAGCUGGUGUGGAAUCCCCCGUCGUUUUGGACAACGUUAAAAACGAGUCAAGUGUAGUAUAUGGUGGCUUACCAGAGCGAUUGUAUAUUAUUUUGGACAGUGUUAUUGUAUAUGAAGGAGGUCCGGGUCCUUUUGGGUACCAUAUUAAUGAGGUGGAAGACUGGUUGACGAAAUACAAGGGAGAAGAAAGUAAUGUCCGUGCAUAGUUAUUGUUACUAGGGGUUACUGAUGUUUAUUAAUAGACGUACUCCCGAAUGACGUCAACUGGGUUUUUUUCCAAAUUGAAAGUCACGUGACGUGGUACAAACACCGAAUCUCGUUAUUGCUAUUGCACUACGCGCGGCCCCUUUCUUUCAAGUUUAGACUAACAAGUGGCGGCGCCAGCCGUCAGUGAUUGGAGGGGCAAAGCUGGGGCAAAGUCCAAGGUUACGGGGGCAAAGGCACGAGCUUCAACUAGGGGUAGGGGGCCUCCCCCAGAAAGUUUUGAAAAACAGGUUGCCGGAAAUGCAGCCUGGCAGUAUUUCAGACACUGAUCGAUGAGGGAAAGUGUCAAACGAACGGACUUGCGAAUCACGACGAAGCCCACUCACGAGCGUCAAAGUAGGGAGUCCCCCCCCCCCAGAAAAUUUUGAAAAAUAGACUGCCGGAAAUGCUGUCUUACAGCAUUCCCAGGGACCGAUCGUCGAGAUAAAUAGAUCUGACCAGAUACCGUUCGUCGCCUGAUCACUAUAUAGUUUAUCCGACUAGAGAACAAAAUGUCAAACGAACGGACUUGCGAACCUCAACGAAUUCCCCUUGUGAGCGCCAAAGUAGCGAGUCCAUUGGGGACCUCGCCAAGAAAAUUUUGAAAAAUAGACUGUCGGAAAUGCUCUACAACAUGCAAGUUUAUGACUGAGUGGGGAUGUGGGAUUUAUUCACCGUAGAAGGUAUUGAUUACCGAAACGUAUCACGAAUACUUUUUUUUUAUUUUCUAAAAUUAUUGGGGGGGGGGGGCAAACAGAGGGCAGACCAGAUUAAUGGGGGGGCAAAUGCACCCCCUUGCCCCCCCCCCCCCUGGCGCCUCCACUGAGACUAACGAAUAACGAAAAUUAGUAAUUAUGCCUACUAAAUGAUGUUUGAGGGGGGCACUGUUUCAAGUUCCCCCACGAAUAUCGUUUAGUCGGCGUAGUUACCAACUUACGUUUUUCAUUAGUCUUAGUAUACUUGAAACUGACCGUAAUAGCCUACAAUCAAAAGCGAACGGUGGUGUUUGUUCCCUUUACUAUGGAAGCCUAUAACUACCAUUCAUAAUUUCUACUUUUCGCCUCUUCAAAACACGAAAGUCGAAAAGUCGAAGUUACGACAAAAUGCCCCGGUUGUACGUGACAAGGAGUAGGGUCGCCUGUCCAACCUCGUGGGUUUUCUCCGGGUUCUCCGGUUUCCUCCCACUGCUAAAGACCCCUACACGCAAGCGAAUUAUUGAAAUAAAAUUAAAAACCAUAUGUUAGUCCCGAAAUGACCUAGUUUGUGUCGAAUGGACGUUAAACCCCAUCUCUCUCUCUCUCUCUACGACAAAAUGUGAGGCGACAACACGCUAUACAAGCCAAAAUCAACUCGAAAAUAGAAAAUUAAGAAAUAACACACAGCGAUAAUAGAAAUUAGGAGAAAACGAGGGGCGCUAUUAUACAAGCCAAAAUGCAAGUCGAAAAUAAGAAAUUAGGAAAAAAACGAGGGGCACUAUUAUCGCUGUGUGUUAUUUCUUAAUUUCCUAUUUUCGAGUUGAUUUUGGCUUGUAUAGCGUGUUGUCGCCUCACAUUUUGUCGUAACUUCUACUUUUCGACUUUCGUGUUUUGAAGAGACGUAAAGUAGAAAUUAUGAAUGGUAGUUAUAGGCUUCGAUACUUUACCCCACUUUGACGUCAUUCCGAAGUAGGUUUGUUGUGUACAAGAUACUGUAUAUUUAGACAUUUUAGCAAAACGGAUAUUUUGUAUGCAUUAUAUUGUUUUGUAUGUAUUAUAAUCUUCGUAGCCGAAUAUUUACAAUUUUUUUCGUGGCGGAGACAUUACAAUGUGGAAAUUGUAUAAAAGUUAUAUAGUAGAUAUAUUAAUGAAGGUAUUUUAGUAAAAACACGAAACUAAUUUAUCUGAUGACGUCAUAAUAUCUAUAUAUAUAUAUAAGUGUUAUAGAAUAACUCACUUGUUCAGUGUCCAAGUUAAAUUUAAGUAGUGCUUUUUCUAACACCUUAUAAUGUGUAAAUUGAUAAAUGCGAAUUGUAUAACUUUUAUAUAGUAGAUAUAUUUAUGAAGAUAUUUUAGUAAAAAUACGAAACUAAUUUAUUUGAUGACGUCAUAGCUAUAUAUAAAAGUUAUAGAAUAACUCACAUGUUCAAUCUUCAAGUAAAAUAAGGUAGGUCAAGACUAAGUAAACAAAACACGAAAUAAAAGAAUUUUUAACCUUGUAA